rnacentral:lncRNA from 1 species
UUCGAGCGAUGGAGAAACUGCCUACACAUCCCCACCUUAAUAGCUCAAUUGCAAGAGGAAGAAAAAGAAAUCAAUCUGACAAGAGUGUUUACAUUUCUAGUAUAUAUGGGCACAUGGGUUUAUACCCAACUCUGUUCUGCGUCUCCACAUAAUCACUAUCGAGUGUUCCUACUGAAAAUGUCUUCUACAACUCUAUUAGUAUGGUCCCUACCCUUAGUUUUGAACCGCUGAUCAAUCAUUAUGUCAUCAUCAGAUCAUCAAGCCAUUGGUAUACUCCCUCCCUCCGUUCCAAAUUAUGAG